UAUAGAAAAUUUAAACUUAAUAAAACCAGGUAUCUUUUAAGAAACAGCCUUAAAAACAUUUAAACUUUUAAGGCUAUGAGAUAUUUUAAGUUUAUAAAAUGCCUCAUAUUAUUAAUAUUUGAACUUAUAAAUAAAAAGGUUAAGAAUUCGGGCCACAGACAUGAGCACCAAAUGCUAAACAGCAGAAACUGGGGUAUUCCCAUCUUAUAGUGCAGCAAGACAAUGACCUAAGCAGUGUGGCAAAGGGCUUGGAGCAGCUUCUCCCCAAUGGGUUAUGAUCCUCUGGGCAUAGAAAGACCUUUUUACAGGGGUAUCCUAGGACCACCUGCCUGCUAGAUGUUUGCAUUGCAUUUCCUAACAGUGGCAAAAGUGUUGUUGUAAAAUUACAACAGGAAUGAUUUUGUGGUUGGGGGAGGAAGGGAUCACAACACUGGGUAGUUUGAGAACCACUGGCUUAGAGAAUGUCACUCCUUACCCAGGGUCUAUUCAUGCUUAAGAAUGUACAUCUAGCCUCCUUGUCUUUCCUAACUUUGUUAAGCUUAAGCUAUUUUUGAUAAACUGAAUCAUAUAAAAAAACUGUUAUAUUCUGUAACAGUGUACUAUCAAAGGAUCAGAAACAUUCCCAGUCUCUCUGUGGACUGUGUUUAUGAGUUCAAAGUUUUAUUUGAUACUAAAAGAGCUUCAAUUCAGAAAUUGUCAUUAUUUAUGGCUAACUUGUAAACUGUGAAAGAUGAUUAAGACAUGCAAGUAAAUAGUCACCUCAUAAAGGAUCAAAUUCUUUAAUAUGUUCAGAACUAUAAUUGUAGUCAUGCCAAACACUAAUGUAAUUAUUAUAGGAAAAAGCUUUAUUUAGCCUCCUAUAUGUGUUUUAUAAGGUUAAGCCUAGGGUUUUUACCUCAGAUAUACUUAAUAGAUAAUGGUCCUCAAACUUGUCAGAGAUCUGAUGAAUAUGGUAUUAAAAUGUUUAAUGGAAAAAGCUUAGCAUGACAGAGACCCACAGCUCCUACCAGUGACCCCAAAAUCUCCAAAGAAGAUGACAGGGCACCAUGAAAACUUCACCUGGAUCAUGGUAAUGCUAACCACUGGGAAAGACUGCCCCAAGGCUGCAUCAGCCACCAGAACCCAGCCCAAACUGUGUACAAGCAGGACAGUGAGAGUUCAUCGCCCCACUUUGCCUGGACAAAGUAAGGUCAGUCCCCACCAUGUUUCUCCUCCACAGGAAAGCCUCUCAUCUAUUGGGUCUCGUGGCUGAAGACUGAUGCUAUCCUGGUACCUCUGCCCCCAAUGCCAACGAGACCACAGGAGCCUGAUAUGACCAUCUGGGUAAUGGACUAGUCUCUGUCAUUUUAAUUGAUACACAGGGCAUUUGGAUUAUACUUUCUACUGUCAUUUAUCCUCCUUGAUCUCUGAUGGUAUUGACAGCUAAGCUGACUAUGUCUUUGUCAGCUUAGCCCCAGCAGGCAACCAGGUUCUUCUCCAAGGCUACAGCCACCUUGUUAGCUGAUUUCAUAUAUAAAAAUCAAGCCUUGAUUUUUCUAGAACUACUAGGUCUCCUGUUGAGAAAGGCUAGACAGGUUUGCCUUGCUAACAGGCUUCAUAUUAAAAGAUAAACAUAUUUCAGAUGUAACUUUCCACUAAAGGAACAUGAUUUGCAAUGACUAUGUCUCUGGUAAAUGAUUAGAUGGAAAGAAAAAGGAUUAAAAGUCUAUGCAAGUUUUGAGGGUCUAAGAAAAUGUUCUAAGGUAUAUAAAGGUCUGAGGAUAUGAGAGUCUAUGUAAGUUCUGAGGAUCCAAGUGUUCUAAGAGAAAGGUCUGAGGUUGUGAAAGCUUAAGUAAGUUCUGAUGGCCUAAUAAAAUGAUUUCAGGGGUUGGGGAUUUAGCUCAGUGGCAGAGGGCUUGCCUAGCAAGCACGAGGCCCUGGGUUCAGUCCUCAGCUCUGGAAAAAAAAAAAAGAAAGAAAAUGAUUUCAGAUGUGUAAAUACAAGUUGUAAAGGUGUAAGAAAGUGAUUUAAUGCAUGAGAAAAAUGGGAAAUGGUUCAGAUCUGUUUCUCCCUUUUAACCUAUUGUUAUACUAGGAUUUCAAAAGUUCAGAGUUUUAACAUUGAUCAACGGCAUUCUCAUGAGCUUACCAGGAUCUACUUAGUGUUUAGGCACAAGCUCAAGUUUUUAAAUUUCUUUUAAUUGUCUUCUAAGUACAGACUUAAGGUGUUUCUCAUCAAGCUAUAUUUGGCUCUCUAGGCAGGAAAAAAUGUUCAUACUUUUUAAGCCAAUCUACAGCUUUUCUAGGGCUCAAAGGUGUGAGUUAUACUCUAGUUGUUUUGUAGACACCUAUUACUGACUUUUCUACAAUAUGGAUUUCAGAUUGGUAAUGCUAAUAUAUCUAAAACCUUUGGGACUUUUUGUAAACUAAAAAAAAGAAAAGAAAAAAGCUGAUAUAACCUUCAGAGAAUCAAGGGAGUCACACGACUUGGAUCCACUUCUUACAGAUCAAAAGGAAUUCAGAUAAAUACAGCCUACAUUUCCUGACUUUUCUAGUCCUGGGGAUGGGAUCUCUCUCUCUCUCUCUCUCUCUCUCUCUCUCUCUCUCUCUCUCUCUCUCUCUGGGGUUGGUACUCCUCCCUUCCCUUAACUACUAGGACUAUGGUCCUGAAAGUUCCCAAUGUAAGACUGCUGGUUUGAAAAUAAAUGCCCCCCAAGUGUAGCUGUAGAGUUUUCUCUCUGGGUCCCACCAAGUCCCGGCAGUCUGACAGUCCACUUAUAAAAUAAACACACAGACGCUUAUAUUAUUUAAAUUGUUUGGCCUAAUGGCUCAGGCUUCUAUCUAUCUAGUUCUUACAUCUUAAAUUAAUCCAUUUCUAUAAAUCUAUACCUUGCCACAUGGCUCGUGGCUUACCGGCAUCUUCACGUGCUGCUUGUCAUGGCGGCGGCUGGCAGUGACUCCCUCUGCCUUCCUGUUCUCUCAGUUCUCCUCUCUGUUAGUCCCACCUAUACUUCCUGCCUGGCUACUGGCCAAUCAGUGUUUUAUUUAUUGAUUAAUCAGAGCAACAAUUUGACAUACAGACCAUCCCACAGCACCCAAGGGAAUGGCACUAUUAGAAAGUGUGUCCUUGUUGGAGAAAUUGUGUCACUGUGGAGGUGGGCUCUAAGGUCUCAUAUAUGUUCAAGCCAUGUCCAGUUUCUCAAUUCACUUCCUGUUGCCUGUGAGAUCAAGACAUAGCUCCUUCUCCAAUCUCAGCUUCUUCUCCAGCACCUAGUCUGCCUGUUUGUUACAAUGUUGCACCAUGAUGAUAAUGGACUAAACCUCUGAAAAUGUAAGCUGCCUCCAUUAAAUGUUUUUCCUUUAUACGAGUUGCCAUGGUUAUGCUGUCUCUCUUCACAGCAAUAGAAACCCUAAGACAAAAAUGUUCCUUUAUAUUCCUGAAUUUUAACUUCUGUCCCUACUCUAUAUCUGUCUCAGCAGAUUUCCACUCAGCUGACAGACACCAUCCAAGCAUUAGCUGCUAACUACAACCUGCUCCAAACAGCUGUGGAUCAAUCCAACCAAUGUGAUUGCUCCCUGUCUUGAGCUGGAUCAGCAAACCAGAUGCUUCUGAUGAAUGCUCCAUUGCCUGAAUUCCUUCCUCCAUUUGACUAGCAUUCCAACCUUCCUGGGCCCUGACAACAAUGUCCUAGUUUCAGCAGGAAGGAGUUACAGAAGAGAAUACAUCGUCCCUUGUCCCCAAUAGGCUGGAAUGUUAGAUCAAAAGAAUACUCCCUGGCACAGGAGACAAAAUAACUACCUACAGUGCCUAUUGGCAUGUUGGGAAAGGCACCUAUUAAAACCAAAUAGACCCAGAUCUAGCAACAGGCUGAUGCAGCUUCCUAAGAAACGGUGAUAGGCCCUCAUCUCCGCCUCUGUUAUCCACACCACGGUAUAAGGUAUAAUUAACCUCUUCAGAUUGAAGCUUUUUUUCUGGUGCCCUCUGUGUACCUGGAUUGGUGGACAGAAAUGGUUUAAACGGGUUUUUAUCAUGAACUUUCUUCAGGAUUUGGAGAUAAAAUAGAGGAAUUGGACUACAAAGAGAACACCUAGACUACUACCUAUUACUACCUCCUCCACCUGCAAGUGACCUUGGGAGAUAAUAAACUAGAUAAGAAGAAAAAUGUGUAAAUGAAAAUUUCUGGAAAGAAGCCUACAUGUGUGGGAUGACUCAUCCCUAACAGGCUUGAGGGCCAGCUGGCCCAAACAAGUGAAAAAGAUACUUUCUGAGAGCCAACCUGGGUCUGCCUAAUGGUCUUAGCAACAGCAGCUGAAACAUAAUCUGGAGAUGACCUGGACCAAUGAGAGGCAGCCAUGUCACCCCAGCUGAUGCAUAUUCAUCAGACCUCCCCCCAGGGUGGGGUGGAGGGUAUAUAAGGCUUGCCUCUUCCUGGAUAAACUGAGCCUGUUGUUUGGACAUUCUCACAGAGUCUAUGCGGUUUGACUCUGUGCCUACUUGGCCCCCUCCCCCAAAGGGAACAACAGCAAAGGACCCUGCUACAUCUGGUGCCGAAACCCGGGAAGUUUGAUACUUGAACAGGGUCUGUUUGUCUCCCUUUACUCAUGUACAGUGCUAGUUGAGCAGCACCCUUGAGCGCUAUAUUUUGGUGAGUAGGCCCCUCUACGUUGUGUAAAUUCAGUCCCUUCAGCAGGUAAAUGCUGGGACCCCCACUUUCUUCUUUCUGUUUGUCUUGUUUGUGAGUCUGUCUGUAUGGUAGGGUGGCACGUACUUUUGUUCAGGCUUGCCUAGCUGCUGUGGGAUGUUCUGUAUGGCAAAUGUGUUGCUCUGAUUGGUCAAUAAAUAAAACACUGAUUGGCCAUUGGCUAGGCAGGAAGUGUAGGCGGGACAAGGAGGAGAAUUCUGGGAAGUGGAAGGCUGAGUCAGAGAGACACUGCCAGCCACCACGAUGACAAACAGCAUGUGAAGAUGCCGGUAAGCCACGAGCCACUUGGCAAGGUAUAGAUUAAUAGAAAUGGAUUAAUUUAAGCUGUAAGAACAGUUAGCAAGAAGCCUGCCACGGCCAUACAGUUUGUAACCAAUAUAAGUCUCUGUGUUUUCUUGGUCGGGUCUGAGCGGCUGUGGGACUGGCAGGUGAGAGAGAUUUGUCCUGCUACCUUGCAUGAGCAAGCUUCUGACUGAUUAUCUUGUCUCUGCCUCCCAUCUCACCAUAGAGAUUCUGGAAUCACAGAUAAAAAAAAAACCACUGCAUCUUGCUUUUGUGUCAGUCCUUGUGAUCAAACUCAGGUCAUCAGACUUGUGGUUUAUGUGACAAGCACUUUUACCUAUGGAGCCACCUCUCUGCCAUCCAUCCUUGUCUUUCAACUAAUGGUGCCGACACCUGUACCAUCCUGUGCCUGUUGUUUCUGUGCCUACACCAUUCAUAACUAGUAUCCAAACUACUCCUAAUAAACACCCUUUCAUUGUACCUCUUCUAAGAAUCCCUCAACCCAAGAGAGCUGUCCAGCUGACGCCCCUCUUAGUGAGACUAGGCAUUAUGGCAGGUAUGGGUACUGAUCUGAAGGAGACAGUCUGGGGGAAUGGCUCCAUAGAAGGGUAUGUGGGACUGGUUUUCCUGGUUAAUAUACCUGAGUCUGCUUUCUGGUAUAAUUCUCCUUUUUUAAAGACUGCUUACUUACUCUUCUGGAAUGAUGGGUAUCUUCCAGAACACAGGUCAUUAAGCUCCACAUGGUUUCAUCUCAGGGAUACUAACCAUUACCAUCAACAUCUGUAUUCAUGUUCCUUUGGUGCCUAAGGACCUCUUAACCUGCAAGUAAUGUCUCUGGACUCCAACUUAUACAGUAACUACUCCAUAAACUCUUCAAAAUAUCAACCAAAUCCUUUAUGCUUUACAGUCCUAGGACCCUAUGAGAGAUCAGCAAUCUAGCCAGGGCCCUUCAAGACCCCCCACUCAGCUCUGAAUAAGAUCCCAAAGAAAAAUAAAGUCCGUUGUUAGUGAUUUGACCCUGCUGAU